UACGUAGGAGGCAAGCGUUGUCCGGAAUUACUGGGCGUAAAGCGCGUGUAGGUGGUGGGACAAGUCUGCUGUGAAAGCGCCUGGCUUAACCGGGCGAGGUCGGCGGAAACUGUCCGACUCGAGGACGGUAGAGGGGGGUGGAAUUCCCGGUGUAGUGGUGAAAUGCGUAGAGAUCGGGAGGAACACCUAUGGCGAAGGCAGCUCUCUGGGACGGUACUGACGCUGAGACGCGAAAGCGUGGGGAGCGAACAGG
rnacentral:rRNA from 1 species